rnacentral:tRNA from 1 species
GCCCGUUUAGCUCAGUGGUAGAGCGCGCCACUCGUAUGUUUCGACUUUGUAAUGGUGAGGUCGGUUGUUCAAUCCAGCCAAUGGGCA